rnacentral:rRNA from 1 species
UACAGAGGAGCCAAGCGUUGUCCGGAUUGACUGGGCGUAAAGCGCACGCAGGCGGUCUGGCGCGUGGGGUGUGAAAUCUGGCCGCUUAACGGCCAGGCGCCAUCCCAUACGGCCGGACUGGAGGGCUGCAGAGGUCGAUGGAAUUGCCGGUGUAGUGGUGAAAUGCGCAGAUAUCAGGAGGAACACCGGUGGCGAAGGCGGAUCUCUGGGCCUUACCUGACGCUCAGGUGCGAAAGCUAGGGGAGCGAACAGG